UGGGGAAUUGUUCGCAAUGGGCGCAAGCCUGACGACGCAACGCCGCGUGGAGGAUGAAGGUCUUCGGAUUGUAAACUCCUGUUGAUCGGGAAGAACGGGCUCCGGAUGAAUACCCCGGAGCAGUGACGGUACCGAUUGAGGAAGCCACGGCUAACUCUGUGCCAGCAGCCGCGGUAAUACAGAGGUGGCAAGCGUUGUUCGGAAUUACUGGGCGUAAAGGGCGCGUAGGCGGCCUUGUCAGUCAGACGUGAAAUCCCCAGGCUUAACCUGGGAACUGCGUCUGAUACUACAAGGCUGGAGUUCGGGAGAGGAAUGUGGAAUUCCAGGUGUAGCGGUGAAAUGCGUAGAUAUCUGGAGGAACACCGGUGGCGAAGGCGGCAUUCUGGACCGAAACUGACGCUGAGGCGCGAAAGCCAGGGGAGCAAACGG
rnacentral:rRNA from 1 species